GCAAGUCGAGCGCACCUUCGGGUGAGCGGCGGACGGGUUAGUAACGCGUGGGAACAUACCCUUCUCUAAGGAAUAGCCACUGGAAACGAUGAGUAAUACCGUAUACGCCCUUCGGGGGAAAGAUUUAUCGGUGAAAGAUUGGCCCGCGUUAGAUUAGAUAGUUGGUGGGGUAACGGCCUACCAAGUCUACGAUCUAUAGCUGGUUUUAGAGAAUGAUC
rnacentral:rRNA from 1 species